GGCAAGGACUGCUGUACCGCCGAGGGAUGUUCAGUAGGCUGCAAGUUGUGCUCUGGCCACAAGGGUUGCGUAUGCUGUAAGUGCACCGGGAAGGAAUGCUGCACCGCCGAGGGGUGCCCAGUUGGCUGCAAGAAGUGCUCUGGACCCAAGGGCUGUGUUUGCAAGCUGUGAAGAGAGAGAAGAGUUACGUCUUUACUCCGUUACUCUGAAGAUGAUCAAGACGGACACGCACGCUUUAUUCAACUUAUAAACUAUGAGUUCUUCAUGCAACUGUUUGAUAAAAAAGAAUGUUUGAAUAUUUGGAGAUCAAUGUUUGAAAAUCAAUGGAUAUACAAUGUACAGGGGUGUUUGGCAAUUUAGGGCAUUGAUUGCGGCUAUUACUAGACGCAUAAAGCAACACUAAUUAAGUCAAUGCAUUUUAUUUCUGGUUAAGGAUUUGAUAUUUGUAUGGUUUAAUAUUGAGAAGCAAAACCCAUAAUUAUUUCAUGGAGAGGAGGACUUGAAAUUAAUCCAGAUAUUAUUUAAAUUGAUCGCGUCCGACUUUGUGGAACAAAUAUUUGCCAAAAUAAAAUUUAAUUCAGAACAUAA